AAAAAAAGAGGUUCGGGCAAAAAUUAGGGAUAUAAAAAUAAAAAAAUGUACACCCGGUGAGUCGAAAACCCGAAAGGGUGGCUCAGGCAAAAAGGGGUAUCCCGGUGGAUUGAAAACCCGAAAAGGGUGAUCCAGGCAAAAGUUAGGGAAUAAGCGAAUGACUGCAAUCUGAGUUCAUCCGUGUCAUAUCACCGUUUCAUUCAAUCCGGCAAUCUCCGAAGGUUAAAGAUCGACUAAUCAUCCACUUCAGAAAGCAAGAUGAG
rnacentral:lncRNA from 1 species